ensembl:lncRNA
GCCUCAAGCCAAGCUAAACUGGACGAACAAAGGGAUGCUAUCAUUAAGCUCAAGGCCGCUCUGGAAAAGUCUGAGCAGGACCUGAAGGCCGGUCAUCUCCAGUGGCAACAGGAAAAGGUUUCCCUCAAAGAACACUGUGUCCACUUAUCUCAUUCUGAGGGUCAACACAUGGGCACGCAGACCCAUGCAGUUGAUCAAGAGAUGGACGAACAGAGAGAGGAGACAAUCAGGAUCUUAGCCACUCUAAAAGCAACACAGGACGAGCUCCAAGCUGAGCGGAUGAAGGGAGAAAAACAGGCCCUUCAAAAUGACAUGGAGGCUAUGAUGUUGAAGGUCCGUGCUGAAUUGAAGCUGGCUAAAACUAACGUGGAGUUUGAAUUGGAAAGUCAACUGGAAAUUGAGAGGGCUCAAACAAAGAAGCAACAAAUUGAAAUAUCAACGUUGGCAGAAGCUCUUAAAAACCAGCAGGAGGCAGUAAAGCAAGUAAAGGAAUUAUUCCAGGCUUUCCAAGAGGACACGAUGAGCAAACAGAGAGCGGAAAGAGACAAGAUGGCUGCAGCCCUGAAAGCAUCACAGGACCUUCUCAAGAGUGAGGAGAUGACGACCAACCAAGGUGAAAUGCAACAAUUCAAGGCCUCAAGCCAAGCUAAACUGGACGAACAGACUCAAAUCAACGAAAGCACCAAGGCUGCUCUCCUUAAGAGUGAGCAUUGCCUGCAUAAUGCACGUCUUGAGUGGCAAAAGGAGAGGUCUUCCCUGACAGAAGUCCGUGACGUUCUUCAAGCCCAGGUGAAGACAGAGACAGAGGCCAAGCAGACGCUGGAGAGAAUCAUAUCAGCCCAUCAAGGCCAGCUAGAAGAACAGAAAGCUAAGUCCAACGAGACCUUGUUAGCUAUGAAAGUUAUCAAUGUUCGGUUAGAAACCCAGCGUCAGGAAAAUUCCUUCCUCACCGCACAGCUGCAGACGCAAGACACAGUCAGCAAAAGCCGUACUAUUGAGUGGGAGCAGGAGAGGUCUCACCUCACAGCCAGGCUGAAUAAAACAUCCACGGACCUUGAACAUGCCCUGCUGAGGAACGUCACUCUUUUUCAAACAAUGGAGAAGGAGGCUGCGGAGACGUUUGAAAGAAACCAGGCAUCCCAAGAACAGCUGAUCUCAACAAUUCGUAAAGACAAAGAUGACUCGUUAGAAAGGCAGCGCCUCAGCUUUCAGGACAUGAUAUCACACCUUGAAACAUCCAACAGAAACUGUGUUACCAAGCAAGAGACGCAGGAGGAGGACCACAAAAACCUCCUAGCAUCUCUGAUCAAGAAGUUUGAGGAUGACCGAGAGAGUAAACGUCACGAAUGGAACCAGGAGAGGUCCGACCUCCUUAAGAUCGCAAAACAAUCCUUGGCAAGGGAGGAGGAGUACCAGGAGAACAACAUCUCCUUAAGCUCUCAUGUGGAAGCCCUUCAAUGUCAGAUCAACAAGCCAAAGAAAAAGUGGUACAAGCUAUUCUAAGGCCCGGCUACAGAUCAAGACCAAUGACCCCCACACACAGACACCAAAACGCAUUGCUGUGAGGUCAGUCAACUCCUAAAGUGCACUAAAACGCACAAAAAAAGAAGAAAAUACAUAAACACAGACAAGAAACACACACACACAUAGACAACAAAUACAUAAACACACACACACACACACAGACAAUAAAUACAUAAACACACAGACACAGACAACAAAUACAUAAACACACAGACACAGACAACAAAUACAUAAACACACAGACACAGACAACAAAUACAUAAACACACACACACAGACAACAAAUACAUAAACACACACACACAGACAAUAAAUACAUAAACACACACAACAAAUACAUAAACACACAGACACAGACAACAAAUACAUGAACACACACACACAGACAACAAAUACAUAAACACAGACAACAAAUACAUAAACACACACACACAGACAAUAAAUACAUAAACACACACACACAGACAACAAAUACAUAAACACACACACACAAAAAAUACAUAAACACACACACACAAAAAAUACAUAAACACACACACACAGACA